rnacentral:rRNA from 1 species
UACGUAGGGUGCGAGCGUUGUCCGGAAUUAUUGGGCGUAAAGAGCUCGUAGGCGGUGUGUCGCGUCGGUCGUGAAAACUUGGGGCUUAACCCUGAGCUUGCGGUCGAUACGGGCAUCACUGGAGUUCGGCAGGGGAGACUGGAAUUCCUGGUGUAGCGGUGAAAUGCGCAGAUAUCAGGAGGAACACCGAUGGCGAAGGCAGGUCUCUGGGCAUUAACUGACGCUGAGGAGCGAAAGCAUGGGGAGCGAACAGGA